AUUGAACGCUGGCGGCAGGCCUAACACAUGCAAGUCGAGCGGUAGCACAGAGAGCUUGCUCUCGGGUGACGAGCGGCGGACGGGUGAGUAAUGUCUGGGAAACUGCCUGAUGGAGGGGGAUAACUACUGGAAACGGUAGCUAAUACCGCAUAAUGUCGCAAGACCAAAGUGGGGGACCUUCGGGCCUCAUGCCAUCAGAUGUGCCCAGAUGGGAUUAGCUAGUAGGUGGGGUAACGGCGCACCUAGGCGACGAUCCCUAGCUGGUCGGAGAGGAGGCCCAGCCACACUGGAACGGAGACACGGUCCAGCCUCCAACGGGAGGCAGCAGGGGGGAAUAUGGAAAAAUGGGCGCAAGCCUGAUGCAGCCAUGCCGCGUGUGGAAAGAAGGCCUUCGGGUUUUAAAGCACUUUCAGCGGGGAGGAAGGCGUUAAGGUUAAUAACCUUGGCGAUUGACGUUACCCGCAGAAGAAGCACCGGCUAACUCCGUGCCAGCAGCCGCGGUAA
rnacentral:rRNA from 1 species